rnacentral:misc_RNA from 1 species
UCUCGGCUUAUCACCGGCAGUCCCCCUAGAGUGCCCAACCGAAUGAUGGCAACUAAGAUCAAGGGUUGCGCUCGUUGCGGGACUUAACCCAACAUCUCACGACACGAGCUGACGACAGCCAUGCAGCACCUGUGUUCCCGUUCCCUUUCGGGCACAGCCCCGUUUCCGGAGCCUCCAGGACAUGUCAAGGGUAGGUAAGGUUUUUCGCGUUGCAUCGAAUUAAUCCACAUAAUCCACCGCUUGUGCGGGUCCCCGUCAAUUCCUUUGAGUUUUAACCUUGCGGCCGUACUCCCCAGGCGGGGCGCUUAAUGCGUUAGCUGCGGCACGGAACCCAUGGAAUAGGCCCCACACCUAGCGCCCAACGUUUACGGUGUGGACUAC